GCCAGCAGCAAAGCAUAUUGAAUGUGCCAGUUCCCAGUGGCUGAAAUCAAGCAACGCUGCACUUGGUUGGUAUCUAGAUGGAUGACCAUAUGGCAAUCACGUGCUGCUGACU
rnacentral:rRNA from 1 species